rnacentral:rRNA from 1 species
GAUGAACGCUGGCGGCGUGCCUAAUACAUGCAAGUCGAGCGAACGGACGAGAAGCUUGCUUUUCUGAUGUUAGCGGCGGACGGGUGAGUAACACGUGGAUAACCUACCUAUAAGACUGGGAUAACUUCGGGAAACCGGAGCUAAUACCGGAUAAUAUUUUGAACCGCAUGGUUCAAAAGUGAAAGACGGUCUUGCUGUCACUUAUAGAUGGAUCAGCGCUGCAUUAGCUAGUUGGUAAGGUAACGGCUUACCAAGGCAACGAUGCAUAGCCGACCUGAGAGGGAGAUCGGCCACACUGGAACAGAGACACGGUCCAGACUCCUACGGGAGGCAGCGGUAGGGAAUCUUCCGCGAUGGGCGAAAGCCUGACGGAGCAACGCCGCGUGAGUGAUGAAGGUCUUCGGAUCGUAAAACUCUGUUAUUAGGGAAGAACAUAUGUGUAAGUAACUGUGCACAUCUUGACGGUACCUAAUCAGAAAGCCACGGCUAACUACGUG